UUAAAAAUCAUAUUAGAGAAUGCAGGGGGCUGUGUGAGGGGUGUGUGUGUGUGUACCUGCUGGUCAUUCAGAUUGGCCGCUUCACUGAGGGAGAGAAAACAUUUUUAGAGAAGAUAGAGACAGCACUGCCCAGAGUAAGGGACAGAGCCACCAUCCUCUUCACACAUGGGGAUGAUCUGGAACACCAACCUAUUGAUGAGUAUGUCAAAAACACCAACCAACACCUCCAGCAGCUCAUCAGAGAGUGUGGUAACAGAUAUCAGGUGUUCAACAACAA